AGGACGAACGCUGGCGGCGUGCUUAACACAUGCAAGUCGAGCGGAAAGGCCCUUCGGGGUACUCGAGCGGCGAACGGGUGAGUAACACGUGAGUAAUCUGCCCCUAGCUCUGGGAUAGCUCCGGGAAAACCGGGAUUAAUACCGGAUAUGACCACUUUAGACAUCUGUUGUGGUGGAAAGAAUUUCGGCUAGGGAUGAGCUCGCGGCCUAUCAGCUUGUUGGUGGGUAACGCCUACCAAGGCGACGACGGGUA
rnacentral:rRNA from 1 species